rnacentral:rRNA from 1 species
UACGAAGGGGGCUAGCGUUGCUCGGAAUCACUGGGCGUAAAGGGUGCGUAGGCGGAUCUUUAAGUCAGGGGUGAAAUCCCGAGGCUCAACCUCGGAACUGCCUUUGAUACUGGGGAUCUCGAGUCCGGGAGAGGUGAGUGGAACUGCGAGUGUAGAGGUGAAAUUCGUAGAUAUUCGCAAGAACACCAGUGGCGAAGGCGGCUCACUGGCCCGGAACUGACGCUGAGGUGCGAAAGCGUGGGGAGCAACAGG